GAUCCUGGCUCAGGACGAACGCUGGCGGCGUGCUUAACACAUGCAAGUCGAACGGAGCACCCUUGAAUGAGACUUCGGUCAAAGGAAAGGAAUGCUUAGUGGCGGACUGGUGAGUAACGCGUGAGGAACCUGCCUUUCAGAGGGGGACAACAGCUGGAAACGGCUGCUAAUACCGCAUGACGCAUUCGGAUGGCAUCAUCUGAAUGCCAAAGAUUUAUCGCUGAAAGAUGG
rnacentral:rRNA from 1 species